rnacentral:rRNA from 1 species
CGCCUCUUGCAAAGCAAAAAAUAAGAGGUCCCGCCUGCCCUGUGACUAUAUGUUUAACGGCCGCGGUAUUUUGACCGUGCGAAGGUAGCGCAAUCACUUGUCUUUUAAAUGAAGACCCGUAUGAAUGGCAUAACGAGGGCUUAGCUGUCUCUUUUCUCCAAGUCAGUGAAAUUGAUCUCCCCGUGCAGAAGCGGGGGUACAAACAUAAGACGAGAAGACCCUAUGGAGCUUUAGACACAAAGCAGUCCAGAUUAAGACUCCAGAAUUAAAACGGAGCAAUAAAAUGACAAUCCUGCUCAAAUGUCUUUGGUUGGGGCGACCAUGGGGAAAAACAAAACCCCCACGUGGAAUGGAAGAACUUCUUCUACAACCAAGAGUCGCCACUCUAAGUGACAGAACCUCUGACCAUAAAUGAUCCGGUACUACCGAUCAACGAACCGAGUUACCCUAGGGAUAACAGCGCAAUCCCCUUCCAGAGCCCAUAUCGACAAGGGGGUUUACGACCUCGAUGUUGGAUCAGGACAUCCUAAUGGUGCAGCCGCUAUUAAGGGUUCGUUUGUUCAACGAUUAAAGUCCU